rnacentral:rRNA from 1 species
AUUGAACGCUGGCGGCAGGCCUAACACAUGCAAGUCGAACGAGUGGCGGACGGGGGAGUAAUGUCUGGGAAAAUGCCUGAUGGAGGGGGAUAACUACUGGAAACGGUAGCUAAUACCGCAAACCAUCGGAUGUGCCCAGAUGGGAUUAGCUAGUAGGUGGGGUAAAGGCUCACCUAGGGGACGAUCCCUAGCUGGGCUGAGAGGAUGACCAGCCACCCUGGAACUGAGACACGGUCCAGACGCCUACGGGAGGCAGCAGUGGGGAAUAUUGCACAAGGGGCGAAAGCCUGAGGCAGCCACGCCGCGUGUAUGAAGAAGGCCUUCGGGUUGUAAAGUGCUUUCGGCGGGGAGGCGUUACCCGCAGAAGAAGCACCGGCUAACUCCGUGCCAGCAGCCGCGGUAAUUC